rnacentral:rRNA from 1 species
GACGAACCGUGCGAACGUUGUUCGGAAUCACUGGGCUUAAAGGGCGCGUAGGCGGGCCACCAAGUCUGGGGUGAAAGCCCCCGGCUCAACCGGGGAAUUGCCUGAGAUACUGGUGGUCUGGAGGGAGGUAGGGGCAGCGGGAACUUCCGGUGGAGCGGUGAAAUGCGUUGAUAUCGGAAGGAACGCCGGUGGCGAAAGCGCGCUGCUGGACCUCUUCUGACGCUGAGGCGCGAAAGCUAGGGUAGCGAACGGG